GGAGAGGUGCCAGAGUGGUCGAAUGGGGCUCCCUGCUAAGGAGUUGUCCGGGUAACCUCGGACCGUGGGUUCGAAUCCCACCCUCUCCGCCA
rnacentral:tRNA from 1 species